rnacentral:tRNA from 1 species
GGAAUUGUGGCUCAGUGGUAGAGCACUCACCUAACAUGUGAGAGACACUAAGUUCAAUCCUCAGCACCA